UUACAAUUUUUGAGAUAUUGCCGACAAAAUGUACAGUAAAUUUCCCGGAGUGGACACCGGUCAAUAAACGCAGACAGUCGUACGAUAUCGCCUCUAAUCUCUUUCGCACACCGUAAGUUGACCCCUUCAAUAAUAGCGCACAAAAACACAUACACUAAUGGCUCGAAGCAAGAUAGAACAUCUCGCACAAUAGCCACAUCAGAGUGAUUUGAUCAACCAAGUGUGAAGUACCUGGAUUGAAUAGUGCAUGCAAUCCUGAAAGGUGGCACAGGUUGCGUAUUAAGAUCCCUCUAAAACCAUCACCAGCAUCACGUUUUCGAAAACCAGAGGAAAGUGCUUCAAACCACAACCACGUGCAGUCAAUCGGUCCGAGAAGCCAACCAUAAAAGGUAAAGUGCAUAUCAAUGCCUUUUGAUGCAUCAUACCUAGCUCCAAUAUUACAUGCUUUCAGGCUCGGUUGCAUGUCCCGAGCGACUAUCCGGCUCGAUUGUAAAAGCGGUGACAGGGUCUAGUCCUCCAGAUUCGGACACUGCUAAGGGUGACAAACGUAGAUGCCAACACAUCCGACACAGAUUCCACAAUAUACGGUUCACACGAUUGGCACUCGUUGGCAGCCAAAGACACAGAAGGCCUUCAAUAGAAGGCCUUUUGUUUGCAGCCUUGCAUUUGCCGGUGAAUCGACAUCUGUACGCUCGUUGAGCGAGUAUCGCACGGCGAUCCCAAGCUGGUGGUGCAACUUUGAGGUGCAGGGAAGUCACGGGUGGUGCAGCAGAUGAUACGCAUUGUGCGACAUUGAACCGGGUACGACGCAACAAAAGGUAGUGCGACGGAGAGCGUGCGACAUCAAGGAAGUAGCAUCGAUUUGCAGUGUGCAUUCUGCUCGUCCGAGAUUGCCAGGUGAUGCUUCAUGCAACAAAGGCACACUAGCGAAUGUGCGCUGAUAGCGAUAACGACGAUGCACCAGAUGCAGCAGGGGGCCCCCAUCGAUGCUGAUAAACGGACGGAGGAUGAGAAAAUGUAUGUACGUUAGGCAAAUUAGCUGUAAGAACAUUAUGUGAAAUGAAUACUCAAAUGAACCAUCAUUGCCAAUUCUCCAUUAUUGCCGAUUUCAUGUUUUCUACUUUGAGUCAAUGAGCUGGGG